AUCAAAAUUAAUUUAAUUACAGACCCUGUAAAUUUGUGAUAUUUUGAGUCACGAGAGGAAACUUACACUGUUACAUAAUAUAUCACGCUUAUAUCUCUACAAUUUGCCUCUUCAAAACCCACCCGGGAAGGUUCCUCUUUAACAAUCAAAUUCAAACUCAAAAUGGAUGAUUGAGUGGCACCGAAGAAGGAUAUGACAGCAGUGCUAGAAUAUAUAUUGACAUGGAAAUCUCUUUGCCAAUUCUCGCUCGCUCGAUAAAAAAAUACUGAACCAAUGGUCCAACUCUCUGUCUUCUUUCUUGAAAUCAUCAAUUUGGCAUGUGCUUGUUAUAUUGUGAUUCGUGGCUUGAACACUUGGGUGGGAUAUAAUUAGCUUUCCUUUGUAAAGGGUUAAACAACACAGCUCCACCAAUGCAAACAACUGUGCCUAAUACCUUCGUCCUCUCAGUCUCAGCCAAGCUGUUUAUGUUCGCUUUCCAAGGCAGCAAGUUUUAUAAUUUUGAUGGUUUUAAUUAUGCCAUUUACAUAUUUAUAGGACAUAGAGAAAAGAGAAAAUCUUAAAUUAAAGAAGAAAGAGAGGAGAAAAAAUAUUAAUGGAAUUAAUUAUUCGUGCCAUCUAAUCUUAAUCCUCCAUUUUAAUCUAAGUUAAUGGAUAAAAUAUUGUAUUUACACUUGUGUUUUAAAAUGUUUCUCUUAGAACCUUGCACACACCCCAUCAUUCGUUUCUUUUAGUUUGAACUUUGAAUAUGGUUUGGGCUGGUUUGAAUAUGGCGUGAAAUGGAAGGAAAAAAAAAGAGGAAGCAAAGAAACAAAGAAUAAGACAUAAAAAGAGAGAGAGAGAGAAAGAAUGAUUAAAACAAUACACGGAGCCGCAAAAUGUUAAAGAUUGAUGAAUAUUAUCUAAAUAUACGUACAGUGUUAGCACAAACUUUCUUGUCCUUUAUUCUUUGAUUUAUACUAAGUAAAUGUUUUCUUGUUUUACAUAUACAUACAAUCAAAGUAAUAGUAAUGCAUACAAUCGAAAUAAUAGUAAGAAUAAGAUAUCACAUUUUCUCGAACAAUGUCAUUGUUCAAAUGGGCAUGUUUUUUUAUUUUAUAUGAUCACGAGUGUAACAAUUUAAAUUUUAAAAGUUUGACGUUUUAGUUAGCACCAUUAUACUUUAUAUCAAUAGAAUAAUUAAUUCCAUGGACAUGGCAUAUUCAAAUUAAAUGCCCCAUAAGCCUAGAAAAUAUCCAUGGUCCCUCCCGUAAAUGAACAAAUCAACAAUUGAAAUUCUUUUCUGUAAAGUUGAUGGGUCAGCAUCAACUGGUCAAGUUUUUCCCCCGAAUAUGAUACAGCAUCUAUUUUAUCACACCCUUGACCCUCAUAAUCAUGGAAAUAAUCUCCUAAAUGCUACACAUAUCACAUCAUUUCCAUUUCAUCCUCUAUUCCAUGUGAUCAACAUCAACUUAUAAUUGAUGGGCAUUAAUGAAUUCUUUGCUUAGUAUUCAUUGGGAUCUAGAGACUUUAUUUCCCACCAUCAAACUUUGAUAUUUAUGAUCUUGUCUGGCUCAUUAUGUUAUGUAUUUACUAAGUAAAUUGAGGUACUCCAAUUAAGGUAAGCAUGUAUAAAAGAUUGGUGUAAAGAUGCUUUCUUGUUUGGUACUUUGUAAUCUAUCACAUUAUUAAAUUGCUCGAUGUUAUUGUCUCCACUAUGGGUGUAUUUGGGAUUGAGGUUGGGCAGCUGUAAUUGUUGAGUUGUGUCCCACAUUGUCUAGAAAAGGAGAAAUACUUGAGUGUAUAAGGAGAUAGAUCACUUUACCUAAAUAACUAGUCUUUUAGGUUGGAUACCUAGAAAUCUUAUGCUAAGUCCCCCCAAUAAGUGUUAUCAGAGCUAAACCCUAGUAGCUAAAAUGUGGUGGAACAACUCAUGUGUGUCAGACGAAAGGACCGGAGUCUGGCGGUGGUUUCGUCUGAGGGAGAGAUUAUUGAGUUGUGUCCCACAUUGGCUAGAAAAUACAAGAUACUUGGGUUUAUAAGGAGAUAGGUCACUCCACUUAAAUGACUAGUAUUUUGGGUUGGAUACCUAUAAAUUUUAUGCUAAGUCCCCCUAACAGUAGCUUAAAAGCUACAACACUAAAGUAUUUGGUAAACACUAGUUGUUGUAACUUGAAAACUAUGUUAAUAUGAUUUUUCACUUGUAUAAUGGAAAAUCUAUUAUAUCUUUAAUAAUUUUAUUAAAAUUAUUAUUUAAAAUUUACAUUUACUAUAUAUUACUAACUUUUGUUUCAUAGUUACAGCUUUUUUUUUUCCACAAUAGCUGUAGCUAAGCUACAACACCUCAAUCCCAAACGCACCCUAUGCUCCAUCGCCAAACUUCCAAGAAUCUGUUCUACAAUGUGAGUUAAGAGUUUCAUCAUUGUAGAGUGGCAGUUUAUAAUUGUAGUAUCCUCUUUUUAUCCGCUCCAUCAAAUGUAAAUUUGAGCAAAUUCAAUAAUAUUUUAAGUGGCACAAUGUUUUAAAGAAUACGAUUUUAUUUUGUAAACCAUUUUUAUUUUAGGUAUAAUAGUGAGCAAUAUUGCUCACAUUAUAAUAAACAAUAACCUCACGUGAUACUAUUUAAUUAAUCUAUAAAUUUAACACUUUUACAAUCAUACCAAGUGUCCAAUUACUCAUAUGCUGAGUGAACUUUCUCACUUAGGUUCCGUUUGAUACAACUUUUCAAGUGGAGCUUAUUUAAGUAGAGCUUUUAAUAGUAUAACUUUU
rnacentral:lncRNA from 1 species